UACGGGGGGGGCAAGGCGUUGUUCGGAAUUACUGGGCGUAAAGGGCUCGUAGGCGGCCAACUAAGUCGGAUGUGAAAUCCCCGGGCUUAACCUGGGAACUGCAUCCGAUACUGGAUGGCUUGAAUUCGGGAGAGGGAUGCAGAAUUCCAGGUGUAGCGGUGAAAUGCGUAGAUAUCUGGAGGAACACCGGUGGCGAAGGCGGGGUCUCUGGGCCCGAUACUGACGCUGAGGCACGAAAGCGUGGGGAGCAAACAGG
rnacentral:rRNA from 1 species